GGCGUGGUGCUCGCCGGGGAAGGCGUCAUCCAGGUGGUCUUCCCGAACGGGUCUCUUGCGAUGAGCGCGGUGGUGCGUGCCGGCGACGUGUUCUGGAUCCCACGCCACUUCCCGUUCGUCCAGGUGGCGUCACGGGGCGGGCCGUUCGUGUUCUUCGGGUUCACCACGUCGGCGCGGCGGAACAAGCCGCAGUUCCUGACAGGCCCCACCUCUGUCUUCCGCAUGAUGCUCGGGCCGGAGCUCGCGGCCGGGUUGGGCGUCCCUGAGAAUGAGAAGGAAUUGAGGGAGGUGGUGGAGGCCCAGACGGUGGCGGUGAUCGAGCCGCCGUUGCCGGAGAAGGAGAAGGGGCGGAAGGAGAGGGAACCGUUUGUUAUGAAGCAAGUGGCGAGGGAGUGACCGCACGCGCGGCGAGCCAUCUGCUUAAUGCUUUAUUGAGCGGAUGAUCGAUCUUACCUGUGUUCUUCUGGUCGAAACUUCUGUACAUCAUGCGCGUGUUUGCGCCGUGUGUUUCAGUGUUUGUGUCGCUAGUGUGUGUGUGUUGUGUUCUAGUACGUGUUUGUUCAUGUGAGUUCUGGCGUCGUCAAUAAAUAAAGAUGCAUGUCAAAUUCAGCUGUGGGCUAGACAUAUAGUAUAAAAACAAUACAUAAAUCCAGUGAGUCUCUCUAUCCAUCAAUUACAAGUUGCAAACAAUGUACAACCUCGCCACCGAAUCAUUCAUCACUACUGGAUGCAUGAUGCCGAUGCUCCUGUCCCAACCGAUAUGAAAGUGCAAGACAAUAGGUUUUGGGGGAACCGACACAACUCUCUAGGGGUGGCCUAUCACAUAUAUAUAUAUAUAUAUAUAUAUAUAUAUAUAUAUAUAUAUAUAUAUAUAUAUAUAUAAUGAGGUGGUAUACAACGUUACAAUAUACACAUGUAAAUACAGUCUAACACCCUCCCUUAAUCUUAGCCACUUUCUAAUGAAUCUAGAAGGGUAAGAUUGCGCCUGCAAGUCUCAAACUGUGGGAAAGGCAAUGGCUUGGUGAAGAUGUCAGCAAGUUGAUCCUUGGAGGAAAUAAACUUGAUCUGUAGUUGCUUCUGAGAGACACGUUCACGCACAAAGUGAUAGUCAACUUCAAUGUGUUUCGUUCGGGCAUGGAAUACCGGAUUUGCAGAAAGGUAUGUAGCACCGAUGUUAUCACACCAAAGAACAGGAGGCUGUGAUUGGAAUAUACUUAACUCCUGAAGCAAGGACUGUACCCAGAUGAUCUCUGAUGUGGCAUUGGCCAUAGCCUUAUACUCAGCCUCAGUACUGCUACGCGAGACAGUAGCCUGUUUUCGAGCACUCCAGGCAAUCAGGUUAGAGCCAAAGAAGACAGCAUAACCCCCCGUGGAUCGCCUGUCAUCCGGAUUGCCAGCCCAGUCUGCAUCAGAAUAUGCUGAAAGACAACCAGAGUCAGACGGCCGAAUAUGCAAACCAUGAGCCACCGUGAAACGAAUAUAGCGCAAAAUCCGCUUAACAGCAGACCAAUGAGUGUCACGGGGUGACUGCAGAUACUGGCAGACUCGGUUAACAGCAUAGGAAAUGUCCGGUCGCGUGAUUGUCAAGUACUGGAGCCCACCAACAAUACUCCUAUACUCUGUCGCAUCAGAAGAAGAAAGAAGCACACCAUCAACAACAUUGAGCUUAUCAGUGGUAGACAUGGGUGUAGUCGUCGGUUUGCACUUAAGCAUCCCAGCUCGCUGCAACAAAUCCAGAGAGUACUUCUUCUGCGUCAUAACAAGGCCAGCAGCACGAGAAAUAACCUCCACACCAAGAAAGUAAUGAAGCUUCCCAAGGUCCUUGACCGCAAAAUCAGCACCAAGUGAGUGAACAAGCGCAGUAGCAGCCGACUGAGAGGAGAUGACCAAAAUGAUAUCAUCUACAUAGACCAACAAGUACAUAGUAACCUCAGGCCUUUGAAGAAGAAACAAUGAGGAGUCAGCAGUUGAUGAUGCAAAACCAUGAGCACGAAGAGCCAUUGCAAGACGAGCAUGCCAAGCACGAGGAGCCUGCUUCAGACCAUAAAUUGCCUUGGACAGACGACAGAGAUGAUCAGGGCGAUCCGGAUCAGAGAAACCCGGAGGCUGGCGCAUGUAAACCUCCUCCGCCAAGACACCAUGAAGAAAAGCAUUUUGAACAUCAAGCUGACGAAGAAACCAACCUCGAGUAACAGCCAGAGAGAGAAGAAGUCUGAUGGUAGUAGGCUUGACCACUGGACUGAAGGUGUCUUCAUAGUCAAGUUCAAAACGCUGUCGAAAACCACGAGCAACCAGACGAGCCUUAUAGCGCUCAAUGGACCCAUCAGAAUGCCUCUUCACUUUGAAAACCCAUUUGCAAUCAAUGACAUUUAUCCGUGAUUGUGGAGGAACAAGAGUCCAUGUCUGAUUGCGAAGAAGCGCUUGAUACUCCUGCUCCAUGGCCUCUCUCCAAUGAGGAAUGCGCAUAGCAGCUUGAUACGUGCGUGGCUCAGAGGAUGGAUCUGCGAGAGCAGCAGACAUGCACGCCGCUAACCAAGCAACUGUGCCAUCGUGACGUUGCUUAGGCUGAAAAAUGCCACUCCGACUGCGCGUAUGUGGACGUAGAGCAGCAGCAGGAGCCGGCGGAGGCGAAGGUGACGGAGACGUGACGGUCGCCGGAGAUGCAGGAAUCACCUCAGGCGAGCUCGGGACAGACGACUCCAGGCUGCAUGGCGAAGACUGGCCCGACGACAGGGGCUCAGAGGCCAUGGGCGAACCGAGAGUGGGCGAGGCCAGCUCCGGUGACACCGGCCCAGACGGCCUUGGCGAGGCGAGAGCAGGCGAGGCCGGCCCUGGUGAGAAGGGCCCAGACACCCUGGGCGAGGCAGGGGCGGGCGAGGCCAGGCCUGGUGAUGACUGCCCCGACGCCCUGGGCGAGACGGGGACCGAGGAGGCCGGCCCAGUCGGCGGGGUUGCAGGGCGCGACGAUGGCGAAGGCAGCCCAGAAGCCAGAGGCGACCGGGCCAGGACGUCGAUCGGCCGUGCAUGAGCACGGAAACCGAGGCCAUGCAGGGGCGCCAUGUGCUCCUCAUGCACAACAGAAGGUGCCGAGGAUGAAGGCGAUGGCGACGAAGAGGAAGAUGGCACUUCCAGAAUCUCCAAACGAGCCCCACGACCAGUGCCUGCACCAUGGUUAGGCAACAAUAGAGGAGAAUAUGCAACAUCAUCAAAUUGGUCAGAAGCAACAGAGGAUGAAUGCAUGACAGGUGGCUCGGUAGUGGACACAGGGAGUUUGACAAAGGGAAAAACAUGCUCAUCAAACACAACAUCCCGAGAGAUGUAGACACGAUUAGUGGGCACAUGAAGACAUUUGUAUCCUUUAUGAAGAGAGCUAUAACCAAGAAAAACACACUUCUUGGAACGAAACUCGAGCUUACGCUUGUUAUAUGGACGGAGAUGGGGCCAGCAAGCACACCCAAACACCUUGAGAAAGGUGUAGUCCGGUUGUUCAUUAAGGAGAACUUCAAUGGGAGUCUUCAUAUUCAAAACACGAGUGGGAGUACGAUUGAUGAGAAAACAUGCAGUGGUGAAAGCAUCACUCCAAAAACGAAGCGGAACAGAUGCAUGGGCCAAAAGAGUCAGACCAGCUUCAACAAUGUGACGAUGCUUACGUUCUACUGAACCAUUCUGCUGAUGUGUAUGUGGACAUGCUAAACGGUGAGUGAUCCCAAGCGACUGAAAGAAGGAGUUGAGGUUGCGAUACUCGCCACCCCAGUCCGACUGAACAUGAACAAUUUUGUGCUUGAGAAGGCGUUCAACAUGUUUUUGGAACUGAACAAAAAUGUCAAACACAUCAGAUUUACGUUUGAUAAGAUAAAGCCAGGUAAAGCGGCUGUAAGCAUCAACAAAACUGAUAUAGUAAUUAUGACCACUAACAGAAGUCUGAGCAGGACCCCAUGCAUCUGAAAACACAAGUUCUAAAGGAUGUUUCACCUCACGACUGGACUCUGAAAAAGGAAGUUGAUGACUCUUCCCCUGCUGACAAGCAUCACACACUGCUACAUCUUUAUUACUAGACACACUAGGAAGCUCAUGACGACGCAAAACAUGCCGGACAAUAGGUGUGGCCGGGUGACCAAGACGAGCAUGCCACUGUGACGGAGAUACCCGAACUCCACUGAAGACGCGAGCGACGCCAGGAUGCUCUAGACCAUAGAGACCUUGGCAGAGCCGCCCACUAAGAAGAAUGUCCCUCGUGCCCCGAUCCUUAAUAAAAAGAUCAAAAGGAUGAAAUUCACAAAGCACAUUAUUAUCACGAGUGAGUUUAGGAACUGAAAGAAGAUUACGUGUCACAGAUGGAACUCGAAGAACAUUGCGAAGUUGAAGACUCCUAUUGGCAUGUCUAGUGAGAAGUGAUGCUUGACCAAUAUGAGAGAUGUGCAUACCUACUCCAUUGGCGGUGUGGAUCUUGUCGGAGCCAUGGUAGGGUUCACGAGUGUGAAGCUUCCCCAUCUCACUGGUCAGGUGCUCUGUCGCCCCAGAGUCCAUGUACCAGUGGGGAUCAAUGGAGUAGGACUGAGUGUGUCCCUGUGGUUUCUGCGGUGGCGGACGAUCAGCCAUGGCGAUGUGACGAGCAAAGUUGCGUGUAUCCUUCCCGUCAUUGCCGAGACCAAGAAAACCCCGCUGGAAGCGCUUGUGACACUUCGAGGCCCAGUGCCCAUCGCGACCACAAAGCUGGCACACACGUGGACCACCAGCCCCUGGUAGCGUCGCAGUAGGAGGAGGGGCCGAGGCGGGUGGUGGUGACUGCCCCGAAGGAGCCCUGGAUGAAGCAGAGGAGCGACCACCCUUGGUGGCGGCGUUUGCCGAGAGGGCGCCGUUGCCCCUGGAUCGGCGCGUCUCGACUCGUUGCUCAGUAAGCAGGAGGCGUGAAAAGACCUCGUGUGCUGGCAUGGGCGUGGAGUUGCCCCUCUCAUUGAUGAUCUCGACUAGGGCGUCAUACUCCUCAUCAAGACCAUUGACAAUAAACGAGUUGAACUCGGAGUCGCUGAGGGGCUGUCCAAUGGAGGCCAGCGUGUCGGCGAGACUCUUGACUUUGUUGUAGAACUCAGUGGCGGUGGAGUCAAGUUUCUGACACUCCCCAAGUUGGCGACGGAGCCCAGAUACACGAGCCUGCGACUGUGCCGCAAACGAGUGCUCAAGAAUAGUCCAUGCCUCGUGGGACGUCUUGGCGAAGACAACAAGCCCAACAACGGCCGGAGAGAGCGACCCCUGGAUGGAGGAGAGGUUCGCCUGAUCCUGUCCUGUCCAGACACGGUGAGCCGGAUUAUAGACCGGACCGUGCACGCUGUCAACCAGCGCAGGAGGGCAAGGGAGAGAGCCGUCGACAUAGCCAAGCAGAUAGUGACUCCCAAGAAGCGGAAGAACCUGCGCGCGCCAGAAGAUGUAAUUGUCCGACGACAACUUGAUGGUGAUGAGAUGGCCGAAGUGAAACGGCGGCGGCGGCUGAGAUCCCAUCGAGGAGACUGGCUGAGGUGAGACCACCGUGGAGACAGUCAGAGGGGCAGCCGGCGCAGUGACAGAGGGCGCGGUGACAGAGGGCGCGAUGGCCGCGGUUGACGCCGCGAAGCCUGCCAGCGCGACGUCCUUCGCCUGUUGGGGAACGUUGCAGAAAAUUAAAAUUUUUCCUACGGUUUCACCAAGAUCCAUCUAUGAGUUCAUCUAAGCAACGAGUCAAGGGAGAGAGUUUGCAUCUACAUACCACUUGUAGAUCGCGUGCGGAAGCUUGCAAGGUGAUGAUGGAGUCGUACUCGACGUGAUUCGAAUCACCGAUGACCAAGUGCUGAAUGGACAGCACCUCCGCGUUCAACACACGCACGGGACGGGAGACGUCUCCUCCUUCUUGAUCCAGCAAGGAGAAGGAGAGGUUGAGGAAGACAGCUCCACCGGCAGCACGACGGCGUGGUGAUGAUGGAGAGGCAGUACUCCGACAGGGCUUCGCCAAGCACACAACGGAGGAGGAGAGGUGUUGGGGAGGGGAGGGCUGCGCCUUGGAGGGUGGUUCGGCUGCCCUCCCCUCACCCCUCUAUAUAUAGGGGGAAGGGAGAAGGGGGCCGGCCCCCUAGAACCCAUCUAGGGGGUGCGGCGGCCAAGGGGAGAGGGGGAGAGGGUGGCUUGCCCCCCAAGCCAAGGGGGCGCCCCCUCUAGGGUUCCCCCUCAACCCUAGGCGCAAGGGCCCAAGGGAGGGGGUGCGCGCAGCCCACCAGGGGCUGUCUCCCUGCCCCAUGCAGCCCAUGUGGCCCCCCGGGAGGGGUGGCCCCUCCCGGUGGACCCCCGGAACCCUUCCGGUGGCCCCGGUACACUACCGGUAUGACCCCGAAACUUCCCUAUGUCCGUUUGACAACUUCCCAUAUAUAAAUCUUUACCUCCGGACCAUUCCGGAGCUCCUCGUGACGUCCGGGAUCCCAUCCGGGACUCCGAAUGACAUUCGGUAGUCACAUACUAGUCUUCCUAAUAACCCUAGCGUUACCGAACCUUAAGUGUGUAGACCCUACGGGUUCGGGAGACAUGCAGACAUGACCGAGACGCUCUCAGGUCAAUAACCAACAGCAGGAUCUGGAUACCCAUGAUGGCUCCCACAUGCUCCUCGAUGUUGUCAUCGGAUGAACCACGAUGUCGAGGAUUCGAUCAAACCCUGUAUACAAUUCCCUUUGUCAAUCGAUACGUUACUUGCCCGAGACUCGAUCGUCAGUAUCCCAAUACCUUGUUCAGUCUCGUUACCGGCAAGUCACUUUACUCGUACCGUAAUGCAUGAUCCCGUGUCCAACACCUUGGUCACAUUGAGCUCAUUAUGAUGAUGCAUUACCGAGUGGGCCUAGAGAUACCUCUCCGUCAUACGGAGUGAAAAAUCCCAGUCUCGAUCCGUGUCAACCCAACAGAUACUUUCGGAGAUACCUGUAAUGCACCUUUAUAGUCACCUAGUUACGUUGUGACGUUUGAUACACCCAAGGCACUCUUACGGUAUCCGGGAGUUACACGAUCUCAUGGUCGAAGGAAGAGAUACUUGACAUUAGCAAAGCUCUAGCAAUACGAACUACACGAUCUUUUAUGCUAUGCUUAGGAUUGGGUCUUGUCCAUCACAUCAUUCUCCUAAUGAUGCGAUCCCGUUAUCAACGACAUCCAAUGUCCAUAGUCAGGAAACCAUGACUAUCUGUUGAUCACAACGAGCUAGUCAACUAGAGGCUCACCAGGGACAUAUUGUGGUCUAAGUAUUCACACGUGCAUUACGAUUUCCGGAUAAUACAGUUAUAGCAUGAAUAAAAGACAUUUAUCAUGAACAUUGAAAUAUAAUAAUACUUUUAUUAUUGCCUCUAGGGCAUAUUUCCAACAGUCUCCCACUUGCACUAGAGUCACCAAUCUAGUUACAUUGUGAUGAAUCGAACACCCAUAGAGUUCUGGUGCUGAUCAUGUUUUGCACGCGAGAGAGGUUUAGUCAGCGGAUCUGCGACAUUCAGAUCUGUGUGCACUUUGCAAAUUUCUAUGUCUCCAUCUUGAACAUUUUCACGGAUAGAGUUGAAACGACGCUUGAUGUGCCUGGUCUUCUUGUGAAACCUUGGCUCCUUGGCGAGGGCAAUAGCUCCAGUGUUGUCACAGAAGAGUUUGAUCGGCCCCGACGCAUUGGGUAUGACUCCUAGGUCGGUGAUGAACUCCUUCAUCCAAAUCGCUUCAUGCGCUGCCUCCGAGGCUGCCAUGUACUCCGCUUCACACGUAGAUCCCGCCACGACGCUCUGCUUGCAGCUGCACCAGCUUACUGCUCCAUCAUUCAACAUAUACACGUAUCCGGUUUGUGACUUAGAGUCAUCCAGAUCUGAGUCGAAGCUAGCGUCGACGUAACCCUUUAGGACGAGCUCUUCGUCUCCUCCAUAAACGAGAAACAUGUCCUUCGUCCUUUUCAGGUACUUCAGGAUAUUCUUGACCGCUGUCCAGUGUUCCUUGCCGGGAUUACUUUGGUAUCUUGCUACCAAACUUACGGCAAGGUUUACAUCGGGUCUGGUACACAGCAUGGCAUACAUAAUAGAUCCUAUGGCUGAAGCAUAGGGGAUGACACUCAUCUCUUCUUUAUCUUUUGCCGUGCUCGGUGACUGAGCCGAGCUCAGUCUCACACCUUGUAACAUAGGCAAGAACCCCUUCUUGGACUGAUCCAUUUUGAACCUCUUCAAAAUCUUAUCAAGGUAUGUGCUUUGUGAAAGACCUAUGAGGCGUCUCGAUCUAUCUCUAUAGAUUUUGAUGCCUAAUAUAUAAGCAGCUUCUCCAAGGUCCUUCAUUGAAAAACACUUAUUCAAGUAGGCCUUAAUGUUGUCCAGAAAUUCUAUAUUAUUUCCCAUCAAGAGUAUGUCAUCUACAUAUAAUAUGAGAAAUGCUACAGAGCUCCCACUCACUUUCUUGUAAACGCAGGCUUCUCCAUAAGUCUGCACAAACCCAAACGCUUUGAUCAUCUCAUCAAAGCGAAUGUUCCAACUCCGAGAUGCUUGCACCAGUCCAUAAAUGGAUCGCUGGAGCUUGCAUACUUUGUUAGCGUUCCGAGGAUCGACAAAACCUUCCGGCUGUAUCAUAUACAGUUCUUCCUUAAGAUGCCCGUUAAGGAAUGCUGUUUUGACGUCCAUCUGCCAUAUCUCAUAAUCGUAGUAUGCGGCAAUUGCUAACAUGAUUCGGACGGACUUCAGCUUCGCUACGGGAUAGAAAGUCUCGUCGUAGUCAAUCCCUUGAACUUGUCGAUAACCCUUAGCGACAAGUCGAGCCUUAUAGAUUUUAACAUUACCAUCCGCGUUCGUCUUCUUCUUAAAAAUCUAUUUGUUUUCUAUCGCUCGCCGAUCAUCGGGCAAGUCUGUCAAAGUCCAUACUUUGUUUUCAUACAUGGAUUCUAUCUCGGAUUUUAUGGCUUCAAGCCAUUUGUUGGAAUCCGGGCCCGCCAUCGCUUCUUCAUAGUUCGAAGGUUAUUGUUGUCUAACAACAUGAUUUCCAGGACAGGGUUGCCGUACCACUCUGGUGCGGAACGUGUCCUUGUGGACCUACGAAGUUCAGUAGUAACUUGAUCCGAAGUACCUUCAUCAUCAUCAUUGUUUUCCUCUUUAGUUGGUGUGGGCAUCACAGGAACGGUUUCCUGCGUUGCGCCACUUUCCCGCUCAAGAGGUAGUACUUCAUCGAGUUCUACUUUCCUCCCACUUACUUCUUUCGAGAGAAACUCUUUUUCCAGAAAGUAUCCGUUCUUGGCAACAAAGAUCUUGCCUUCGGAUCUUAAGUAGAAGGUAUACCCGACAGUUUCCUUAGGGUAUCCUAUGAAUACGUAUUUUUCUGACUUGGGUUCGAGCUUUUCAGGUUGAAGUUUCUUGACAUAAGCAUCGCAUCCCCAAACUUUUAGAAACGACAGCUUAGGUUUCUUUCCAAACCAUAAUUCAUACGGUGUCGUCUCAACGGAUUUAGACGGUGCCCUAUUUAAAGUGAAUGUAGCUGUCUCUAGAGCGUAUCCCCAAAAUGACAGCGGUAAAUCGGUAAGAGACAUCAUAGACCGCACCAUAUCCAAUAGAGUGCGAUUACGACGUUCGGACACACCGUUUCGCUAAGGUGUUCCAGGCAGCGUGAGCUGUGAAACGAUUCCACAUUUCCUUAAGUGUGUACCAAAUUCGUGACUUAAGUAUUCUCCUCCACGAUCUGAUCGUAAGAAUUUUAUCUUUCGGUCACAUUGAUUCUCUACCUCAUUCUGAAAUUCUUUGAACUUUUGAAAGGUCUCAGACUUGUGUUUCAUUAAGUAGACAUACCCAUAUCUACUCAAGUCAUUAGUGAGAGUGAGAACAUAACGAUAUCCUCCGCGAGCCUCAACGCUCAUUGUACCGCACACAUCGGUAUGUAUGAUUUCCAACAAGUUGGUUGCUCGCUCCAUUGUUCCGGAGAACGGAGUCUUGGUCAUUUUGCCCAAGAGGCAUGGUUCGCACGUGUCAAACGAUUCAUAAUCAAGAGACUCUAAAAGUCCAUCGGCAUGGAGCUUCUUCAUGCGCUUGAUACUAAUGUGACCAAGGCGGCAGUGCCACAAGUAUGUGGGACUAUCGUUAUCAACUUUAAAUCUUUUGGCAUCUACACUAUGCACAUGUGUAAUAUUACGCUCGAGAUUCAUUAAGAAUAAACCAUUGACCAUCGGAGCAUGACCAUAAAACAUAUCUCUCAUAUAAAUCGAACAACCAUUAUUCUCAGACUUAAAUGAGUAGCCAUCUCGUAUUAAACGAGAUCCAGAUACAAUGUUCAUGCUCAAACUUGGCACUAAAUAACAAUUAUUAAGGUUCAAAACUAAUCCCGUAGGUAAAUGUAGAGGUAGCGUGCCGACGGCGAUCACAUCGACUCUGGAACCAUUCCCGACGCGCAUCGUCACCUCGUCCUUCGCCAGUCUCCGUUUAUUCCGCAGCUCCUGCUGUGAGUUACAAAUAUGAGCAACGGCACCGGUAUCAAAUACCCAGGAGUUACUACGAGUACUGGUAAGGUACACAUCAAUCACAUGUAUAUCAAAAAUACCUUUGGUGUUGCCGGCCUUCUUAUCCGCUAAGUAUUUGGGGCAGUUCCGCUUCCAGUGACCCUUCCCCUUGCAAUAAAAGCACUCAGUCUCAGGCUUAGGUCCAUUCUUUGACUUCUUCCCGGUAACUGGCUUACCAGGCGCGGCAACCUCCUUGCCGUCCUUCUUGAAGUUCUUCUUACCCUUUCCCUUUUUGAACUUAGUGGUCUUAUUGACCAUCAACACUUGAUGUUCUUUCUUGAUUUCAGCCUCUGCUGACUUCAGCAUCGAGAACACUUCAGGAAUGGUCUUUUCCAUCCCCUGCAUGUUGUAGUUCAUCACAAAGCUCUUGUAGCUUGGUGGGAGCGACUGGAGGAUUCUGUCAAUGACCGCCUCAUCUGGGAGGUUAAUGUUCAGCUGGGUCAUACGGUUGUGCAACCCAGACAUCUUCAGGAUGUGCUCACUGACAGAACUGUUUUCCUCCAUCUUACAACUGUAGAACUUGUCAGAGACAUCAUAUCUCUCGACCCGGGCAUGAGCUUGAAAAACUAGUUUCAGCUCUUCGAACAUCUCAUAUGCUCCGUGGUGCUCAAAACGCUUUUGGAGCCCCGGUUCUAAGCUGUAAAGCAUGCCGCACUGAACGAGGGAGUAAUCAUCAGCACGAGACUGCCAAGCAUUCAUAAUGUCUUGGUUCUCUGGGACGGGAGCGUCACCUAGCGGUCCUUCUAGGACAUAUUGUUUCCUGGCAGCUAUGAGGAUGAUCCUCAGGUUCCGGACCCAGUCCGUAUAGUUGCUGCCAUCAUCUUUCAGCUUGGUUUUCUCUAGGAACGCGUUGAAGUUCAUGUUGACAUUAGCGUUGGCCAUUGAUCUACAAGACAUAUUUGCAAAGGUUUUAGACUAAGUUCAUGAUAACAAAGUUCUAAUCAAAUUAUGAACUCCCACUUAGAUUAGACAUCCCUCUAGUCAUCUAAGUGUUACACGAUCCGAGUCGACUAGCCCGUGUCCGAUCAUCACGUGAGACGGACUAGUCAUCGUCGGUGAACAUUCUCAUGUUGAUCGUAUCUUCCAUAUGAUUCGUGUUCGACCUUUCGGUCUCCGUGUUCCGAGGCCAUGUCUGCACAUGCUAGGCUCAUCAAGUUAACCCUAAGUGUUUUUGCUGUGUAAAACUGUCUUACACCUGUUGUAUGUGAACGUAAGAAUCCAUCACACCCGAUCAUCACGUGGUGCUUAGAAGCGACGAACUGUAGCAACGGUGCACAGUUAGGGGAGAACACUUCUUGAAAUUUUUAUAAGGGAUCAUCUUAUUUACUACCGUCGUCCUAAGUAAACAAGAUGCAUAAACAUAAUAAACAUCACAUGCAAUUAUGUAGUUGUGACAUGAUAUGGCCAAUAUCAUAUAGCUCCAUUGAUCUUCAUCUUCGGGGCUCCAUGAUCAUCUUGUCACCGGCUUGACACCAUGAUCUCCAUCAUCAUGAUCUCCAUCAUCGUGUCUUCAUGAAGUUGUCACGCCAACGACUACUUCUACUUCUAUGACUAACGUUUAGCAAUAAAGUAAAGUAGUUUACAUGGCGUUAUUCAAUGACACGCAGGUCAUACAAAAAAUAAA
rnacentral:lncRNA from 1 species